rnacentral:rRNA from 1 species
GUUGGGUAGGGGAGCGUUCUGUAAGCCUGCGAAGGUGUACUGUGAGGUAUGCUGGAGGUAUCAGAAGUGCGAAUGCUGACAUAAGUAACGAUAAUGCGGGUGAAAAACCCGCACGCCGGAAGACCAAGGGUUCCUGUCCAACGUUAAUCGGGGCAGGGUGAGUCGACCCCUAAGGCGAGGCUGAAAAGCGUAGUCGAUGGGAAACGGGUUAAUAUUCCCGUACUGGUGGUAACUGCGAUGGGGGAACGGAGAAGGCUAGGUUGUCCGGGCGACGGUCGUCCCGGUUCAAGCAGGUAGGCAGAGUGAUUAGGCAAAUCCGGUCACUUAAUGCUGAGAUGUGAUGACGAACCACCAAGGUGGUGAAGCAAUUGAUGCCCCGCUUCCAGGAAAAGCCUCUAAGCUUCAGGUUACCAACAAUCGUACCCCAAACCGACACAGGUGGUCAGGUAGAGAAUACUCAGGCGCUUGAGAGAACUCGGGUGAAGGAACUAGGCAAAAUGGUGCCGUAACUUCGGGAGAAGGCACGCUGGCGGUAGGUAAAGUCCCUUGCGGACGGCGCCCAAGCCAGUCGAAGAUACCAGCUGGCUGCAACUGUUUAUUAAAAACACAGCACUGUGCAAACACGAAAGUGGACGUAUACGGUGUGACGCCUGCCCGGUGCUGGAAGGUUAAUUGAUGGGGUUAGCCGUAAGGCGAAGCUCCUGAUCGAAGCCCCAGUAAACGGCGGCCGUAACUAUAACGGUCCUAAGGUAGCGAAAUUCCUUGUCGGGUAAGUUCCGACCUGCACGAAUGGCGUAAUGAUGGCCAGGCUGUCUCCACCCGAGACUCAGUGAAAUUGAACUCGCUGUGAAGAUGCAGUGUACCCGCGGCAAGACGGAAAGACCCCGUGAACCUUUACUAUAGCUUGACACUGAACAUUGAGCCUUGAUGUGUAGGAUAGGUGGGAGGCUUUGAAGUGUGGACGCCAGUCUGCAUGGAGCCAACCUUGAAAUACCACCCUUUAACGUUUGAUGUUCUAACCUAGGCCCAUAAACUGGGUCGGGGACCGUGUCUGGUGGGUAGUUUGACUGGGGCGGUCUCCUCCUAAAGAGUAACGGAGGAGCACGAAGGUUGGCUAAGCAUGGUCGGACAUCAUGCGGUUAGUGCAAAGGCAUAAGCCAGCUUGACUGCGAGAGUGACGGCUCGAGCAGGUACGAAAGUAGGUCUUAGUGAUCCGGUGGUUCUGAAUGGAAGGGCCAUCGCUCAACGGAUAAAAGGUACUCCGGGGAUAACAGGCUGAUACCGCCCAAGAGUUCAUAUCGACGGCGGUGUUUGGCACCUCGAUGUCGGCUCAUCACAUCCUGGGGCUGAAGUAGGUCCCAAGGGUAUGGCUGUUCGCCAUUUAAAGUGGUACGCGAGCUGGGUUUAGAACGUCGUGAGACAGUUCGGUCCCUAUCUGCCGUGGGCGUUGGAAGAUUGAGAGGGGUUGCUCCUAGUACGAGAGGACCGGAGUGAACGCACCACUGGUGUUCGGGUUGUCAUGCCAAUGGCAUUGCCCGGUAGCUAAGUGCGGAAGAGAUAACCGCUGAAAGCAUCUAAGCGGGAAACUUGCCUCGAGAUGAGUCUUCCCUGUC